GUGGUGAGGCCUGGUCGGCGUGAUAAAUAAGAAAAUGGGGGGAAACGGUAUGUGGGGUGGUAUGGAGAGUGCGGUGGCAGGUGGGAGUAAAUAGCCCUGCUUCAGACAGAUCGGGGGGGAAGAACAGUAUCCACGCAUCGAUGUCCAAAUUUUUCUUCCUCGUUGUUGGCAGAUGAGUUUCUCAGACGUUAAUUUAGUUAUAAAUCUUAAGGAGAAACUUGAACAUGCAGACUGAAGGAGCCCUUGCCAGCUAACUCAGGAAAUCCUUCCAUGUAAAAUGUCUUUGUAAUUUAAUAUUCUUUCAUAUUUCCAAGAGAUGGGGUAUGUCUGGAAAGUCAGUAGCAAAGUGGGAUAUAUCUGUCUGUUUUGAAUCUGCAUUAUGUGCCCUGCAUGUCUUAAGUAUAUAUGGCUAGAAGGUGUUUUCCAGAUGCCCGCCCUGCUCAGAGAAGGCACAUGACAACUGAAUGAUGACUUUUAACUGAUCAAGACUAAUUUAAGGUCUUCAACUGACUAUUCUUGGUUACUUGAACCACCUGAAACUAUCAUUCUUCUCAGUUUUUAAAAUUUCUAAUGAAUUUUCUGUAGAGCAAAUGAAAGGCAGGAGGCUAGGACCAGUCUGUGUGGAGGGACGGGUUUCUCCGCAGAGGCUGCACAUGUGUCACUGGGGCCUUGCUGGGUGCAGCAGAGGGGCUGGCUUGGCCUGCCAGGCAUGCAGGAGGGUGAGGGGAUGGGAAAGGUGUAAGUAAGAGAGUGGUGAAGUAUGCUUCCAGAUUUACAAGGUGUGGGAGGAAAACGUACAAAGGCUGAGGAGCUCUCAGGUACUUAUGGUGUAAUAGUGUGUGGGUAGGAAAUUUCUCUCCUACAUCUGUGUUCCUUUUCUCCCUGCCAUGUUCCCCUAGGGGAGUUAAAGCCUUGAAUGUCCAUAGCCUCUAUGAAACCAGCUCAGAAGGAUUACAGUGAAAAUGACUGAGAAUUGCAAGGAACGCUUAGGAGAUCUCAAACACUGAUCUGGAAAUCUAGAAGGGUGCCACCAGAAAAGGCGUUUAAAUCUGGCUGUGAGUACAGGCUUAGAUAAAAUGAUUCUCUCCAGGCUUAAGGAUCGAUCGAUGCAUUGGGGCAUUCACAAUGGACAGGUGACCGUAAGAGUGGGAUACACAAUUCAGUUUUAACAAGGUUAUGCUGGUUUAAUAAAGCCAACACAAAGCGUUUAAUCUUUUUCCCAUUUCAAACUUUAGCAGCCAUUUAGAUUUGCAUUACAGCUGAAGUACUCAGACUAGCUAUCAAAUCAUAUUUGUUGUCAAUAAAGUAACGUGUACUCUCAGAACUAUUGUACUUUUAAUGAAUUUGGAGGGGGGGUUUUCCUUACAUUUGUUACAUUAGGUACUUUGCUUCCCAAAUCAAAUGACUAAUAUAAGCAAUUAAUUUUGUGUAGAUACCUUAUUUUUAAUACACUUGUAUUAACACAAUAAAUCAGAAACAAAUCCUGGAAGAUUAUUCUGUAACUGAAAAUAGGAAAUAUUUAUCAAAAACCUGUAUGAGCUAUCUUCAGUUGAAAUAGAAAAAGAGAGAAUGUAAGUUAGUAAAAAUGAUGCAAGAAAUAAAUUUGAAGUGACCUUUGCUGAGGUUUUUUUAUGACCCAAGCAUAAAGCUAGGAAGAUGUUAGGCAGGCUUCUCUUUGGGCAGAAUUGAAUUAUUAUAGGUGUCAUAUUCUAGAAAUUUCACCUAAGUCUCUGAACUUCCUGGUUUUUAAUGUUUAUUUUCAAGUAGUGUUUUAUUGUUAUUGAAAAGUGGUGUUUAAUGUAUAUCAUUAAUAUGACCUACAACAUCAUAAUGUUUUCUUGUACCCUUGGGGUUACAAGUUUUUCCACAAACUGACACCACCUUUACCUAGAAAUUUGUAUACAACAGGUCAUGAAGUAGGAAUAAGAAUGAAAGGUAGAGGGUUACGCUCCCACAACUUUUAGUAUAAGUUAAGGAGAAACACAGUGCAGAUCCACUAGCAUGCACUUCUAGUCACUUUUCCACUGAAGAUAAAACUCUUGCGUUCUAAGGCAUCUGUACACUGUAACUAACGUGUAGUUAGAUGUGGCACUUCAAAGAUUUCACUAUAAAGUGCCAGGCAAAGUUUGCUUGUUUAAUUAAAAUUUUAUUUCAUCUUGAGCAAGUUUUUUGUGAAGCUGUACACUGGAGUACUCUUGGUUGCAGAUCAAGAUCUCUCUAUCUUCUUGCAAACUUCAGUGAAGUUAGCAAUUACUGUGGAGUAAUGUUUGAAGAUUCUUAAUUCUCAGGAUUUCAUAUCUGUAGUAUAACACAGAAAAAGUCCUGAAAUACCUCAGUAGAAAGCUGAGUAUCUAGGAGAGGUUCACAGGAGAUUUCUGCUUUCACAGGUAAGGAUUAGUCUGCAAUAUGAAAAUUUUGACCACUCCUCAGUAUGAUUGUUGUUGGGAGUCCUUAGCCAUUAAAUGUAGGUGCAGUUUCUACUGGUAGCCUGUUCCAUUCCCGAUAUAAUUUGCUGUCUGACUGCAGGUUCUGGUAUCGACACAACCUUGCUGACAUACCCUGGGUCCACAGCAGGAGUAUUUUGCCAGCAUACUAGUAUAAAACUAGAAAGUUUCAUAAAAAAGUCAGAGUGCUCUUAGGGUAGCCAUUAAUUUAGAUGCUGUUAGUCAGAUAUAUGGUGUUUUGAAUGAGUCUUAGAUAAAUCGUGAUCAGCAAAGUGGUUGAAAGAGGAGUAUAGGUGCAAAUUCUGUAAUCACGGGAUGAUUAGGCAAUGGUCCAUCUUUUCUCAGAAGAGAAGCAGCAGGAUUUCUUCUACUUCUGCACCAUUUGAAAUUCUAAAGGGCUAAAACAAAGCGUGUGGUUCUGAUAUCACACCCAAUUAGGGGAGGUAUGAAUGAACACUUAACUGCCAAUUAGCUUGAAUAUAUACAUGGCAUUUUCAGAAUGUGCUAACAUAAAAGCUUCAGAUAAUCUGACCUGUCGUGCUCUUAAUCUGAAUAGUCCUGAAAUCUGCUCACAGAUAUGAUUACAGCUGCUGGUGUCUGGUUGAUUGCCUUUGCUUGUUUGACCUUCACCCUUCUAAUUUCAGCAAGCAGUUGAGAUCUGACUUGGACUCUGCUUCUUGUACAGCUGUAGCCAGGUUCACAUGAUCCCUUGAGUUUUAAUGGAUGGCUCUGUCUAAUAAUAAGACCCAGUCCUUUAGUCUUUACCCAGAUUUUAUUGAGUCCAUACCUGGACAACUUUAUGUUUGAAUUUAUUUACUUUUACUCCCAUCCCAUUAUUAUUAUUAGAAUGUAUUUAUUCCAAUCCAUUUGUUGUUUGUUUAGUAAUAUAAUUUAGAUUACCAUUACAAGUGUAAUUUUUAAGCAGACUGAAAUACAGGGUGCUGAGCACUCCUGUGGGGCAGUCUUGUGGGGUGCUUCUUUCUUUGCAUCAUGUCAGGAGAUGAUUAGAGGAAAGUACCAAGAAAAGAAGAAUGUGGUGUUUUUACUGCUAAGGGAAAUAAUGCAGCACGAGAUUUUCAGAACAAAACAGCUUUCAGGUGAAACAGAAGAGAGUAUGGAGUGAUUACUUUAAGCACAGAAAAUCCCUUAAUUCACAUUGAUUAAAUUAAGCUAUGCGCACAUCUUUCCAGGAACAUCUUAAUGGUUGUCCUCAGGUCUUUGUUAGUACGGAAAGCGUGGAUAAGCGUAAUAACGAUCAAGAACUAAACAGUUGUAUCAGGACACAACAGUGUGUCAUGAACUGCAGAAUAAGUCCUAUCUGUCAGUCAGCUGGGCAGACAAGUAAGAAAUCCUAUCUGUUGGGUUAGGAAAACACUUGUCUUCCUAAUAAUAGCUAUGCUCUUGAAAGUUCCUGCUUUGCAGAACCAGGUGGUGGAGCGUAGUCCUUCACUAUUAAGUGUUUUAAGUCACAGUCAAAUAGGUCAGGAGGGGGGAAAAAAAAGCUUAAUUACUUGUUUUCAACUCUAUCAUUUAGCCAGUUUUUGAUAUCUAGCAGGUUGCUUUCUGGCAGGCUGCUUCCUAAUCAUGAAUGUUUCCCCCCCCCCCCUUAUGAAAGCCUAUUUAUUUUUUCAAUGAUACUAAUUUUUUUCUUGCAAUACACUGGUUCCUCUGAACUCAGUAAAAAUCAAACCUUGGAAAAUAAUUUCUUUUUAUUCUCAGUUUUGCACAAAAGCUUUCUCUCUUAGCUUUUUGACUUUGGUGUUAGUCCUUGUUUCCAAUCGUCUUUCCUCUUUAUUCAUCUGUUGAUUCUCUCACACAUGCAGUUGCACAGAGCUCCUCCAGUUAAAAUCAUAGCCUCUAAGUUUGCUGCACUGGAUUUUCAGAGAUAUCCUUGAGGUUACUAAUUAAACUUUGCAGUGUAACAUAUCUUUGAUAACAGCACCUAAUUGUUUUAACUACCUAUUUUUAUAAAAGAAGUGAUGUUUUUUACAGCUGCUGUAAAUUGAGAACAGUGGUUACGCUCACCUGAGUCAAAGGUGCGUUUCUUCACAAUGUGCAUUGCCAUAAUGAAAGAACUCCGAAAGGUGUCCCAUUCCAGACGGUGUUUGCAGUAAAAUUGCUCUCAUCUAAGAAUAGACCAGGCAACAUGUUUUGUCCUGAAAACAGGGACUUCCAUGUGUUGCGCAUGAUCUACAAUGACAAAACAAAAUCCAUAAAAGGGUGGAGAAGGACUCGUGUUUAUUGUCUCACAGAGACAAUCAGCUGGAGACAAAGGGCUUCCUUGGAAAAGAGGAGAGACUCGCUGACUUUUUAUGGAGUACUACCAGUUCUGAAUAAAGGGAAGGACCUAAUACUGCAUGGAUGAUAGACUCCUUUGAAACUGGUUUCUGGCCAUAAUCUGUCUAAAUCUUAUUUUGCUCUGGUUUAAGUAAGGAGGGCUUUCUCCUGUGCUGUCUGAAAAUGUCCUUAUUCUGAGCUAUACUUGGAGAUAGGGCAGCUAUACUUGCCACCGGACUUGUGUGGUAUCCAGGCACAUUCAGAAAUGACAAGGAUUGUCAUUGUCAAUAUAUUUAAGCCAUUGUGAAAAAGUGUAUACUUGCGAAUACACUUGUAAUUUACAAAAUACUGUAUUGACAGAACAAUUGCAUGUUUCCUUUGCUUGCAAGUGAAGUAAAAUCAAUUUAUUGGCACCUGCAUAUUGGUGAUUUCAUAGGAGAAAUUUUAGAAGCCUCCUUGACCGCUGCUAGUUUUGAGCAUUCAGAAACUGAAGUCCCAGCAGCCUACUGCAUGCCAUCUAUCCACCUCCUUUCUAGCUGCUAUUAUGAUGACUUGUCACCAUUCACUCCAUAAUUACAUUCUCAAGGUUAUUUCCAUCUCUACUCCUGAUGUGUCCAAAGCACAUACAUUUACACCUAUUCAUUUCUGACAACCAAGUCUACUUUUCUCCAAUAAUAUAUUUAAUAUGAGCAUUUAUCAUCUUUUCUGCCCAGGAUAUAUGCAAGGGUCUUUGCUUACACCACAUCUCAAAAGCUUCAAUUUUCUUCCUGUCGCUAUUGAUAAUUUCUUAGAAUUCACAUUCAUAAGUUGCUACAGCAAAACUUAAGCGUUUCACCAGUCAAAUCUUUCUACUUUUUGAGGUGAUUUUUUUUUUUCAGGCUUUUAUAAGGGAAGCCAUGGAUGAAUCAAUUAUUCUUCAAAUUUUCCUGGUUUCUAUUGGACAGGUUCUGAUUAGAUAAAUUUGAUCCUGGGUAACUGAAUUUAUGAACAGUCUCUGUAGCUAGACCAUUAAGCAUGAAGUUAGCUUAUAUUCUAUUUUUAUUAAUUAAGUAAAGUUAUUUUAUUUAUGGCACAUUCAAGAAUAGCCUGUAGUUUUCAUUAGCCUCUUAUUGGCUCUCUAUUACUUGCUGCACAGCAGAAGAGGUUGUGACAAAGAGCGUUAUGUUGUCAGCCGAAGGUCACUUAAAAGGAGUCCAUUUCAAAUUCAACUUUUCCAUUCUGUGAAGUCCUGCCUGGAUUUUUUUUUUUCCCCAGCCAGGCUGCAAGGGAAUGUGCAGUUACCUGCAGUUGUAACAAUAGCAUAUGAUUCUUAAUGUUUGCUUGAUAUUUUUUCAAAUAAGAAGGCAGAUUUGGGGGAUUUCUGAGUGUAUGGGACUGCUUAGAGGAAAUAUCACCAAGGAAAUUGGGAAAGUUUAGUAAUAUAUUUAGCCCAUGGCAGCUACCUACUGCAGGGAAGGCAGUAUGAGCUGAGUCUCUCCCUCUGCCCCAGUAGAUGAGAACUGUCCUACGCUCUGUGAAAAAAUGAGGUGAUGUGUGGUACUAACAAAUUCUGAUAAAGAGGCUCCAUGAAAAGUAUCAAUUGUAUUUCUGAUGCUGCUGUUCCUAAUUCUUUCACAGAUAAAAUGUCUGCUGCUUGCAGCAAAGAAAAGGAUGAUAUGAAACUUUACAAAUGAAUAUGAACUUGGAAUUUACCAUUAUGGUCAAAGACAGACAUUUGAUGAAUGGAUAUGCAGUCUCAGAGCUGUACUGUAAUGAUGGGGUCAUUUCACGAUGAUGGAUAGGUUUGUCCCUUGGCCCAUUGCUGGAUAUGAGAAACGAGAACAUAAGAAAAGGUAUGAAUGAACAGGAGAAAUGAACAGAUGAACACGUGGUAGAAAAUCUGCAGCUGCCCGAGCAUUAGGGAGUUUGAGUGGUAAAUGAAACCUAAAGCUGGCAUCAGAAUGUGGAAGGCUCCUUAGGAAGAGGAAAGGUUAUAGUACGGAAGGACUGAAUCAACUUUUAUGAAAAUGUUUUCUGCAGGAACUGGGUUGGUCCUGGUGGCAGAGGGAGAAUCUCCAGGCCCCAGAAUGAAGCAGCAGUGGGAGUGAGAGUGACUGAGACACAAAGCUGGCCCGGACUUUGUGGUCUUUCUUGUGAAGCAUGGAAGAUCAGGUGCUAAAUGUGCAGCACUUUAGUAGUCUGCUACAGGUCGCUUCUGCUUUCUUCUUUGAAGGAAAAUGAAGGACAAAUGAGGCUCAGGGAUUACUCCUCCUCCCUGAAUGGGAUGAAUCACAAUCUCAUAACCUCCACUGCAAUCACCGAUGCCAGAUCCCACCACUCUCCUCAUCUUCCUUAAAAACUCUUGGAUCUCGUCUGCCUAUUAUGUACCAUUUCUCCUCCAGCAUCAGCCCGCAAGAUCCACUGCAUCGUUCUGGACUUUAGGAGCUUUCUCUUCUGCUGUGACGCUAGAAACUUAGUUAAAACAUGGCAGCGGUACCAGAAAUUAAACUUUUUGUUGCUGUUGUUGUUACAAAUUUGAAACCUGUCACUACAUGGCUAAUAGAUUUCACUAUACUCUUCUCGACCUCUCUGAUCUCCAA